GACGAACGCUGGCGGCGUGGAUUAGGCAUGCAAGUCGAACGGUAUCAUCCUUUCGGGGGUGAGAGAGUGGCGAACUGGUGAGUAACACGUAGGUUAUCUACCCUCAAGACGGGGACAACCCAGGGAAACUUGGGCUAAUACCGGAUGUGAGCAACUUUUAGUUGUUUGAAAGGUGGCGUAAGCUGUCGCUUGGGGAUGAGCCUGCGUCCUAUUAGUUAGUUGGUGAGGUAACGGCUCACCUAGGCAAUGAUAGGUAGGCGGCCUUAACGGGUGGUCGCCCACACUGGGAUUGAGAUACGGCCCAGACUCCUACGGGAGGCAGCAGUCGAGAAUAGUCUACAAUGGUCGGAAGACUGAUAGUGCGACGCCGCGUGAACGAUGAAUCCCUUCGGGGUGUAAAGUUCUUUUAUAUGUGAGCAGUGCUUCUUAUAUUAACAGUAUGGGGAAGAGAUAUUAGCAUAUGAAUAAGCAACGGCUAACUCCGUGCCAGCACGCCGUAACGUAAACUCG
rnacentral:rRNA from 1 species